rnacentral:rRNA from 1 species
AUUGAACGCUGGCGGCAGGCCUAACACAUGCAAGUCGAGCGGAUGAAGGGAGCUUGCUCCUGGCUUCAGCGGCGGACGGGUGAGUAAUGCCUAGGAAUCUGCCUGGUCGUGGGGGAUAACGUCCGGAAACGGGCGCUAAUACCGCAUACGUCCUGAGGGAGAAAGUGGGGGUUCUUCGGACCUCUCGCUAUCAGAUGAGCCUAGGUCGGAUUAGCUAGUUGGUGGGGUAAUGGCCUACCAAGGCGACGAUCCGUAACUGGUCUGAGAGGAUGAUCAGUCACAGUGGAACUGAACCACGGUCCAGACUCCGACGGGAGGCAGCAGUGGGGAAUAUUGGACAAUGGGCGAAAGCCUGAACCAGCCGUGCCGCGUGUGUGAAGAAGGUCUUCGGAUUGUAAAGCACUUUAAGUUGGGAGGAAGGGCAGUAAGUUAAUACCUGGCUGUUUUGACGGUACCAACAGAAUAAGCACCGGCUAACUUCGUG